AUUGAACGCUGGCGGCAUGCCUUACACAUGCAAGUCGAACGGUAACGGGCCUUCGGGUGCCGACGAGUGGCGAACGGGUGAGUAAUGUAUCGGAACGUACCCUUCAGUGGGGGAUAACGUAGCGAAAGUUACGCUAAUACCGCAUAUUCUGUGAGCAGGAAAGCAGGGGAUCGCAAGACCUUGCGCUGAUUGAGCGGCCGAUAUCAGAUUAGCUAGUUGGUGAGGUAAAGGCUCACCAAGGCGACGAUCUGUAGCGGGUCUGAGGGGAUGAUCCGCCACACUGGAACUGAGACACGGUCCAGACUCCUACGGGAGGCAGCAGUGGGGAAUUUUGGACAAUGGGGGCAACCCUGAUCCAGCCAUGCCGCGUGAGUGAAGAAGGCCUUCGGGUUGUAAAGCUCUUUCGGCCGGGAAGAAAUCGUACGAGUUAAUACCUCGUGCGGAUGACGGUACCGGCAUAAGAAGCACCGGCUAACUACGUGCCAGCCGCCGCCGUAAGAC
rnacentral:rRNA from 1 species